CCCUUUUCAGGGUCAUGCCUGGAGAGUUUCCAGUACUCUACCAGUCUCGAUUUCAAAGGGGAGAGUCAAGCAGAGGCAUACCCAUUCCAUUUCUAGCUUGGCCUGUGGCUAGCGAGUGGAAGGGAAUCUGCUACAAGU